rnacentral:lncRNA from 13 species
AGCCUAUUCACAGCCAUUCACAGAGGUGCUGUUGGAACAAGCUGAUCUUGUCACGAGCACCUUGAAUUUCUGCAAGCAGUUCCCGUCAAGAAGCUGCAAAAUACAUUUCUUCAGACUGCAAGAAUCAAAGGAUUCAUCUGAGAUCCAGAAACCCAGGGAUGGUAAAAUCCCCAG